rnacentral:rRNA from 1 species
GACGAACGCUGGCGGCGUGCCUAAUACAUGCAAGUAGAACGCUGAAGGAGGAGCUUGCUUCUCUGGAUGAGUUGCGAACGGGUGAGUAACGCGUAGGUAACCUGCCUGGUAGCGGGGGAUAACUAUUGGAAACGAUAGCUAAUACCGCAUAAGAGUAGAUGUCGCAUGACAUUUGCUUAAAAGGUGCAAUUGCAUCACUACCAGAUGGACCUGCGUUGUAUUAGCUAGUUGGUGAGGUAACGGCUCACCAAGGCAACGAUACAUAGCCGACCUGAGAGGGUGAUCGGCCACACUGGGACUGAGACACGGCCCAGACUCCUACGGGAGGCAGCAGUAGGGAAUCGUCGGCAAUGGACGGAAGUCUGACCGAGCAACGCCGCGUGAGUGAAGAAGGUUUUCGGAUCGUAAAGCUCUGUUGUAAGAGAAGAACGAGUGUGAGAGUGGAAAGUUCACACUGUGACGGUAUCUUACCAGAAAGGGACGGCUAACUACGUG